rnacentral:lncRNA from 1 species
GGGGGGGCCUACAUUUUCCUGGAUUAUCUUGUGAUCUUGGGGCAAAAAGUGACCUUCCUCCAUUUCUCCACAUUUUGUUUGGAUGCCAAUCUGCAACCAGCACCUGUGUUUGCCACCACAAGGCCUGAUGCUGCCUUUCACCAUCAUCUGGGGAGGCCUGUGAAGCAGUUACCACCUCUCAGCUGGGUUUCAGUAAUGACCUGUAAGAGGGUAUAAAUGAAGUCAUGUGGAUCACCUUGCCUCUUUCAGUGAGCAUAGUGCAGGCAGUUACUGAGCACCUGCUUUGUGGGAGAAAGUUAUGCUUGCUCUUAGUCUGUGAGAAGAAAGACAAAACAGGCAGAUGAAAUCUCCAUGCAACAGCCAGGCUGUGUUGGACACAUUCCUGAGCCUUUCCAGAUUUUGACACCAGUAAGUCUUUGUAGCUCUUUGUAGCAUGUGAGGACCAUAAGGCAGUAGUCAUGCAGCUGUAAAAACUAGGAUGAUCUCUUUAUGCUGAUUAAUUUGA